rnacentral:misc_RNA from 1 species
AAGUCGUAACAAGGUUUCCGUAGGUGAACCUGCGGAAGGAUCAUUACAGUACCAGUACUAUCUGUUAAUGUACGUAGUUUUGGGCCUUAAAGAGAAGGCCUGAGACGCCAAAACCUUGCAAACAAUUUAUCGUUACCUUGGCGAGCUUGCCUGCCAGUGGAUAUACACUAAACUCUUUUAAAUAUGCUGUAAUUACUGGAGAACCGUCUGAAUUUAUAUUAAAUAUAUUAAAA